GCCGGCGUGGCGGAAUUGGCAGACGCGCUAGACUCAAAAUCUGGUGUCCUUUGGACGUGGGGGUUCGAGCCCCUCCGCCGGUACCA
rnacentral:tRNA from 1 species